UACGUAGGGGGCAAGCGUUGUCCGGAAUCAUUGGGCGUAAAGAGCGUGUAGGCGGCCAGGUAGGUCUGCUGUGAAAACUCGAGGCUUAACCUCGAGAUGUCGGCGGAAACCAUCUGGCUAGAGUCCGGAAGAGGAGAGUGGAAUUCCUGGUGUAGCGGUGAAAUGCGCAGAUAUCAGGAAGAACACCCGUGGCGAAGGCGGUUCUCUGGGACGGUACUGACGCUGAGACGCGAAAGCGUGGGGAGCGAACAGG
rnacentral:rRNA from 1 species